GGACCGGGGGUAUCGUGACCAGAGGCUUGAGGCAGACACAAUCGCCCAUGCGGCCUGGCACCUUCGGGGACGUCGGGCCCGAGGGUGAGGUGUCCGCCCUCCUCCUGAUUUCCCCCGAGGGGGGGUCGGGUUACUCCUGCCCCGGCCCCGAGGGCCGAGGCACCCCGACCCCUUGAGGAAGUUUGCGCCACAUAUAUGGGAUAGGUGAACACGGCAGUGCUCACCUAACCGCAUUUAUUGUAAGUCUGGUCAAGCGUGUCACGCUGCAUGCAGCGCAGUGCAGCGCGUUCCUUUAUCCGGUCUGUGACCGGUCACAGACCGGUCAGAUCACGGGUUAGGUGGCGACUGGCGGUCUGACGCACGCCUUGCCCCAUCCCGUCAAGACGAAAGCCUCUAGGCACUCGUCUCAAGCCAGAGCUAGCGUGUAAUCUCUUAGAGAUGGCACGUUAGCCCUGGUUAGAUUUAUACCAGGCUUCAUCCCAACCAUUACAGCCUACAUGUUGUAUGAAGAAGGGCGAACAUGCAGAUUGUUGAACUGACGCGUGGAGGACAAGAAUGACCGGUCUGACACUGGUCAUGUCGUCGGCAGACAGCCACGUUCCCACGACGCGCCUGCCUUCGGCAGAAGUGGAGGUAGGUGUGUGCCGUCCCGUCAGAAGGAUGUUCGGAGGACAACCGUGCAAAUCUCCGUCCAUUUAUGAAGAGAAGAAAAGUCCAGUUUGGAAAGAGAGGGGUGCAUGUGGUAUCCCCUUGAAGUAUAAAAGGAGGACCUUGCCCAUAGGGAAAGGGGGAUGAUCUUUUCCAGAUUCGGAACUUAGAACAAGUGAGAGGUUGGCUCACACUUUGUAGCUCCCUCAUACACAGAUCCACCAAAACACAGGAGUAGGGUAUUACGCUUCUCAGCGGCCCGAACCUGUAUACAUCGCCCGUGUCUCGCGUUUCUUCCUGGCUGGCGAUCUUUCCACAUACCGAGAGAGCUUGAGAUUUCACCCUAAGCCCCCGGCCGAACCGGCAAAGGGGGGCCUGCGCGGUCUCCCGGUGAGGAGCCACGAGCUCCGUCAUCUGGCGCGCCAGGUAGGGGGCUCAGCGUGUGUUUUCUGAGCUCUCGUACUCCUCCGUGUGCGCCAAGUUUUUCUUGUUCAGCCUAAUGGCCGAGCAAGCAAAGGUGCACGACCUCUCUCCGAGUGUGAGCGGCGACGACGGGGAGCCAAACCCACGCCGCCGAGCUCGUACUCCCCCACCUCCUCCACACCAAAAUCCUAAGCAGGGGGAGGCGCUCGAGAGGGUUGAAAAAUCCGCAGCAUCGCCAGUCGCGGGUGAUGCAGGAGAACGGCGAGAUGGGGAGCGUCGCCUCCUCGUCUACGGCGACGGCAGCACGCCUCAGGGCGCGCUUCAGGCUGUUGGCGCGCUCCUACGUCACCCGCCCGUCGUCCCUGACCCGGAGUCUCCAGCCCAGCGAUGGCUGGACGACGUGGCCAACUUGGUCAUGACGGCACAGCAGCGCCUGGGUGCUGGUGGACGGUCCGCCACCACCAAGACCUCCGGCGCCGCCACUACCGGCUCCGUGUCGUCAAGGCGGAGGGCGCGGCGAGCGGCGGCUGUUGCACGCCAUUCGGCUGCCACUCCCUCGUCGGCACCUCCGACUCGGGAGGAUCAGCAUGGAGAGCCGGAUGCUCGCCUCGACAUCGAGCGCCGGCGUAAUAGCCGGCGUACUCCCCGCGCAACGGAGGGCGCCUCUUCGUCCAGAGUGUCACCUCGACAUGGACGUGAAGACCAGCCCUCCGUGCCCCCGGCUGGUGGUGUCGGCUGUAGAGCCUUUGUGGCGAGUCUUCGGAAUGUCCGUUGGCCCCCAAGGUUCCGGCCCACCAUCACCGAGAAGUAUGAUGGGAGUGUCAACCCCACCGAGUUUCUCCAGGUCUAUACGACCGGGAUUGAGGCCGCUGGGGGUGACGACAGGGUCAUGGCGAAUUUCUUUCCCAUGGCCCUGAAGGGACAGGCGCGGGGUUGGCUAAUGAACCUGCCACCUGCGUCGGUCCACUCUUGGGAGGAUUUGUGCCAACAGUUCACUAUGAACUUUCAAGGCACUUAUCCGCGCCCAGGCGAAGAAGCGGACUUGCACGCGGUACAGCGAGGGGAUGAUGAGUCACUUCGCUCGUACAUUCAGCGGUUUUGCCAAGUCCGCAAUACCAUACCAUGCAUCCCUGCACACGCAGUGAUCUACGCGUUCAGGGGGGGUGUGCGGCACAACCGCAUGCUCGAAAAGAUCGCUUCCAAAGAGCCCCAGACUACCGCGGAGCUUUUUCAGCUCGCAGACCGAGUGGCUCGUAAGGAGGAAGCAUGGACCUGGAACCCCUCCGGUUCCGGAGUGGCAGCUUCGGCCGCCCCCGGAUCCGCCGCUCAGACAGGGCGGCGUGACAGGAGGAGGAAGAAGAGGUCGGUCCAUUCUGGCGACGAGGGUCAUGUCCUCGCCGUCGAGGGCGCUCCGUGGGCCACCCGAAAGGGGAGGCCUGCGAGCGACAAAAAGAAAGAGGCUGGUACUCCCACCAGGGAGCGCCCAGCCGGCAAGUGGUGCUCCGUCCACAACACCUCCCUCCACGAUCUCGCGGACUGUCGCGCAGUCAAAAACUUGGCUGAGCGAACAAGGAAGUGGGAGGAGGACAGGAGGAAGGAACGCCGUGAGGGCAAGUCGCCGGCAACUCCCUCCGGUAAACGGCGAAGUGAGGCCAAACAGAAGGCCCCCGCUGUUGACAUCGAUGACGGUGAUGAUGACCUAGGUUUCCAAGAACCUGGGGCCACCAUUGCCACUGUCGAUGGGGGAGCGUGUGCUCACGUCUCUCGCCGGAGCCUCAAGGCCAUGAAGCGAGAGCUUCUGGCCGCGGCCCCUACUCAUGAGGCGACGUGCCGGGCGCGGUGGUCGGAGGUUGCCCUCACUUUCGACCAGACCGACCACCCACCGUGCGUCGCCCGGGGAGGGCAGAUUGCGAUGGUGGUUUCCCCCACCAUCUGCAACGUGAAGUUGGGGCGUGUCCUCAUAGAUGGGGGAGCGGCCCUCAACAUCAUUUCCCCCGCGGCUUUUGAUGCCAUCAAGGCCCCGGGGAUGGUGCUCCAGCCGUCCCAACCGAUUAUCGGUGUGACGCCGGGGCACACAUGGCCGUUGGGUCACAUCGACCUACCGGUCACCUUUGGUGGAUCAGCCAACUUCCGCACGGAGCGGGUGAACUUCGAUGUGGCGGACCUCAGUCUGCCCUACAACGCGGUCCUGGGGAGGCCCGCGUUGGUGAAGUUCAUGGCGGCGGUCCACUACGCCUACCUCCAGAUGAAGAUGCCGGGCCCCGGUGGCCCCAUCUCUGUCCAUGGCGACCUGAAAGUCGCGCUCGCUUGCAUGGAGCAGCGCGCGGACCACCUCGCUGCUGCGUCCAAGCCCGAGGGUGGUGACGAGAGGCUUGGCACCUCCGCCCCCACCGCCCCGAGGCAGCGGAUUGUCACAUGCGCCGAGGUCCCGGUCAAGGGGGUUGCCCUGGGCGACGGCUCAUCCAAGACCACACGGAUCGGUGGUCUUCUGGAUGGCAAAUAGGAAGACGCGCUCGUCUCCUUCCUGCGGGCAAACGCUGACGUCUUCGCAUGGAGACCGGCGGAUAUGCCCGGGGUCCCCAGGGAGGUGAUUGAGCACCGUCUCGCCGUGCGGCCGGGCGCAAGGCCGGUCCGGCAGAAAGUGCGGCGGCAGGCCCCGGAACGUCAAGCCUUCAUCCGCGAGGAGGUGGCGAGACUUCUGGAGGCCGGAUUCAUCCGUGAAGUCAUCCAUCCGGAGUGGCUGGCGAACCCGGUGGUCGUUCCAAAGGCGAACGGCAAGCUUCGGAUGUGCAUCGACUACACCGACCUUAACAAGGCAUGUCCUAAGGACCCUUACCCCCUGUCUCGCAUAGAUCAGAUUGUCGACUCCACCGCGGGGUGCGACCUUUUGUGUUUUCUAGAUGCAUACUCUGGUUACCAUCAGAUUCGCAUGGCUAGGGAGGAUGAGGAAAAAACUGCGUUCAUUACCCCCGUAGGAACCUAUUGUUAUACAUCAAUGCCCUUCGGGUUAAAGAAUGCAGGUCCUACUUUUCAACGUACUACUCGAAUUUCUUUGGGUAGCCAAAUAGGGCGUAAUGUUGAGGCUUAUGUCGAUGACUUGGUUGUAAAGACGCGCAACCAAGAGACUUUACUCUCAGAUCUAGCGGAAACUUUUGGAAAUCUCCGCUCCGCCCGCAUAAAACUGAACCCCGAUAAGUGCGUGUUUGGUGUACCUGCGGGCAAGCUUCUCGGGUUCUUGGUCUCUGCCCGAGGCAUCGAGGCCAACCCCGAGAAGAUACGAGCUAUAGAGCGGAUGCGCCCCCCAGCAAACUUAGGGAUGUGCAAUGCGUCACCGGUUGCGUUGCCGCCCUAAGUCGUUUCAUAUCGAGGCUGGGAGAGAAGGCGCUACCCUUAUUUAAGCUCCUCAAGCGCUCGGGGCCGUUUACUUGGACGGAGGAAGCUGAACGUGCCCUCACUCAGUUGAAGGCAUAUCUCAGCUCUCCCCCAGUUCUAGUCGCCCCGGGGCCAAAUGAGCCCCUACUACUCUACUUAGCGGCGACCCUUAGUGCAGCGUUGGUUGUGGAGCGCGAUGAAGACAAUCCUCAUUUCGCGCACCCCCGCCCUGUGCUGACUUGGCCCGGGAGCGAGCAGGGAGGAGAAGCCCCCGAGUCGAACGGUGGCCUAAGGCCCCUGACGACCGGAGUCGGCCCUCUGCCCGCUUGUCAGACGGUGCUGGGUGCCCCCGACCCUCAGGAAGGCCCCGAGGCCACUGCGGGAAGGCCGCACCUAUCGCCCUUUGGCCCCGAGGCUAACCCUGUGCUGACUCGACCCGGGAGAAAGCAGGGAGAAGAGGCCCCCGAGCCGAACGGAGGCCUGAGGCCCCUGACGACCGGAGUAGGCCCUUUGCCCGCUUGUCCGACGACGCCAGGAGCCCCCGACCCCCAGGACGGCCCCGAGGCCACUGUGGGAAGGCCGCUCCUGUCAUCCUCCGACCCCGAGGUCAUCGGCACAGAAGACGAGUGCGCCCCGAGAGGCCACUUGGACGAAGAACGCCCCGGGGAUGCGGCCCCUAGCGAAGAGGAUCGGCCCCGCCGAAAGGUGUAGCGGCCUGUCUACUUUGUUAGUGAGGCCCUCCGGGACGCCAAGACCCGAUACCCUCAGGCCCAGAAGAUGCUUUACGCUAUUCUGAUGGCCUCGAGGAAACUGCGCCAUUAUUUCCAGGCGCAUCGGGUCACUGUGGUUACGUCUUACCCCCUCGGUCAAAUCUUGCAUAAUCGAGAGGGUACGGGACGAGUGGUAAAAUGGGCAAUCGAGCUUUCUGAGUUCGAUCUGCACUUUGAACCACGCCACGCUAUCAAAAGCCAGGCCCUCGCCGAUUUUGUGGCAGAGUGGACCCCGGCUCCAGAGACCGUCUCAAUCCCCGAGGCCAGCACGGACCCCUCUCAGCUGCCUCACACCGCCCACUGGGUGAUGCAGUUCGACGGUUCUCUGUCUCUCCAGGGCGCCGGUGCGGGGGUCACGUUGACCUCUCCGAACGGAGACGUUCUCAGAUACUUGGUCCGUCUCGACUUUCGAGCGACUAAUAAUAUGGCAGAGUACGAGGGACUCCUUGCCGGACUCAGAGUGGCAGCUGGACUGGGGAUCCGCCGCCUCUUGGUGUUAGGCGACUCCCAGCUGGUCGUUAACCAGGUCUGUAAGGAGUACCGGUGCUCUGACCCACAGAUGGACGCUUACGUACGCCAAGUGCGGCGUAUGGAGCGCCAUUUUGACGGGAUAGAGCUUCGGCAUGUACCCAGACGGGAUAACAUGGUUGCCGACGAACUCUCACGGCUCGCGUCCUCACGAGCCCAGACCCCACCGGGCGCCUUUGAAGAAAGGCUUACCCAGCCGUCGGCGCGACCCGACCCCUUAGGGGAGACGGAUGCGCCUGACCGGCCCCCGAGGCCCGUCGGAGUCCAGGCCUCGGGACCCGAAGGGAGCGCUCCAAGCUCCCUUAGAUUGAUUGCUUGGAUCUCUGAGAUCCAAGCAUACCUCACAGAUAAGACUCUACCUGAGGACCGUGAAGGGAGUGAACGCGUCCAACGCAUUUCCAAACGCUACGUGCUGGUAGAAGGGACCCUCUAUCGGCGCGCGGCUAACGGAAUCCUCCUGAAGUGCAUUCCUCAGGAACAAGGCAUUGAGCUUCUUGCCGAUAUCCAUGAAGGCGAGUGCGGAGCCCAUUCCGCCUCGCGCACCUUGGUUGGCAAGGCCUUUCGUCAAGGGUUCUAUUGGCCGACAGCUCUCAAUGAUGCAGUUGAUCUGGUCCGGCGAUGCAGAGCGUGUCAGUUUCACGCCAAGCAAAUCCAUCAGCCGGCCCAGGCCCUGCAGAUCAUACCACUUUCGUGGCCAUUUGCUGUCUUGGGGCUCGAUAUCCUGGGACCGUUUAAGCGGGCCCCGGGCGGGUUUGAGUAUCUGUAUGUCGCGAUCGACAAGUUCACUAAGUGGCCCGAGGCUUAUCCGGUCGUCAAGAUCGAUAAGCACUCUACACUUAAAUUCAUUAAGGGCAUCACGGCCCGUUUUGGAGUGCCUAACCGUAUUAUUACGGAUAAUGGCACCCAAUUCACUAGUGAACUCUUCGGCGACUACUGCGAAGACAUGGGCAUCAAGCUCUGCUUCGCCUCACCUGCCCACCCCAGAAGCAAUGGCCAAGUGGAGCGCGCCAAUGCAGAAAUCCUCAAAGGCCUUAAAACCAAGACCUUCAAUAUUCUCAAGAAGCAUGGCGAUUCGUGGAUCGAGGAGUUGCCAGCGGUGCUCUGGGCAAACCGAACCACACCAAGCCGAGCAUCCGGGGAAACGCCUUUCUUCCUCGUCUAUGGCACAGAAGCGGUUCUCCCAUCCGAGCUCACCCUGAGGUCUCCUCGGGCCACCAUGUACUGCGAGGUUGAUCAAGAUCAACUUCGUAGAGAUGACCUCGACUACUUGGAAGAACGAAGGCGGCGCGCGGCCCUCCGAGCCGCGCGCUACCAGCAGAGCCUGCGGCGCUACCAUCAGCGCCACGUCCGGGCCCGAUCACUCUGCGUCGACGACCUCGUCUUACGCCGCGUCCAAACGCGUGCUGGAUUGAGCAAGCUCUCACCAAUGUGGGAGGGUCCGUAUCGAGUGAUCGGUGUCCCCCGGCCGGGCUCCAUACGGCUGGCCACGGGCGACGGCACGGAGCUGCCUAACCCGUGGAAUAUCGAACACCUUCGUCGCUUCUACCCCUGAGGGGGGGUCGGGUGUCAGGUUUCGGGCUCGGGCCAACCCCGCACCCCCCUCGGGUGUGCAGGGUUGGCCGGGGGCUACCACACAUGCACUUUCUUAUUUCUCUUAUUUCAGCAUUUCAAUAAAAGCAGUUUCAAUUUCCUAAAGGUUGUGUCUGUGCCGUUUUUUCCUUUUGAAGAAUCUUGACUUGAAAUAAGGUCACUCGUGCUCAGCCUUGCCCUCGGGGGCUCGGUUCGGUCAGCUAAAAUCGCCAAACGGGGCCCAGAACCGAGCCGUGCCCCGGGGCGUGGUGAACUCCGGGGGGGAAUCGGCAAAAACCCACAAUCGGGUCACCCAUAACCCUCGGUCACCACGUUCCCGGCCUGGCCAGUCUCGACAUGUGGAUCUCCCCAGGCACUAGCCCCGACCCGAGCCAUUAGAGGACUGGGACUUGGGCACGAGCCCUUAAAUCAAGCUAAGACACAAAAGAGGACCACGGCACAGAUCAUCCUCAUCUCAUACGCAUAGCAAAAUAAAAUUGACACGAAUUUUUUCAUCAUUUUUGAUUCCAGAUUAAGUUGAUCUAUACAAAAAAGAGGCAUGAAGACCUUAGAAGAAAGAAAAAGAAAAAAUUGGAGAUUGGCGGGGGCCUGGGGGCUCAUUCCGAUGCGCCCGGGUCGCCGGCCUCGUCGCCAUCGUCGUCUGCACCACUGGCGUCGCCCUCCUCGUCGGAGUUGGGGGCGAACGUGAGCCGAGGGGCCGAGCCCUCGAAGCUGUUGACGAUGUGGUCGGCGGCAUCCCGGACCCGCGCGCGCGCGUCGUCCUCGGUCCCGGGAGGGAACUCAUCCAACGCCAUCCAUGGAGAGAAGUUGGGGUCCCUGGCCUGAUAACUCGCUAGUACGAGUUCAACCGCUCCUUGGGCGAGGUCCCUCGAGGAUGACUUGAUGGUCUUCUCGAGCUCCUCGGGGAGUUGUUGGAGAGCCCAGGCCAUCUUCGUGAGGUGCGGAGCGAGGCCUUCCAGGUUGGUGGAGUGCGUCGUUGUCUGGCCUUUCCAGAGGCCCGCCUGCCGACCGGCGCGAUCUAGGCGGGAGACCGCAUCCCAAAGCAUGCCGGGCCCUAUCUCGCCCGCCAAGCGGAGGGCCUCGGCCUCCCCGGCGGAUGAGUCGAGGGCGCGCUGCAUGUCGGCGACGGUGUGUUCGGCAGCUGCGAGGCGGGCGGCUAAGUCGCUUUCGCCCGCAGCCGCCCCACCAAUACGCGCCCUCGCGUCCAGCUCCUUUUCCCGCGCCUCGAGGUCGGCAGCCCGCUGCUCCAGUGCGGCUCUCUCGGCGCGGACGGAUUCCAAAUUACGGCGUGCCUGCUCCGCCAGCGCUGCCUCACGGAGGGAAAGGCUAUCCGCCAACCGUUGCGCCACGGCCUCGGCCUCUUCGAGAGCUCGCUCCCGCUCAGCGAGUGCGUCCUCGCGGAGGCGGAGCGCGGACUCCUCUUCGGCGCAGGCGGCCUCGUGCACCGCCAGCGUUGCCUCCCGGAUAGCGGCGGCGGCCUCGCGGUCCGCCAAGCCCCUCUCCACGGCGCCGGCGUGUUCCUCCAAUGCCAUAGCACGGGCCUCAAGGGCCUCCUCGCGCCGCCGGGACGCCGCUUCGAUCUCCGUUGCCCGCCGCUCUCGGGCAGCGGCGGUGUCAAGGACCCCUUGGGCGGCGUCGAGCUUUUUCUUUAGCUCCGCCUCCCAGCUCCCGUGUUGAAGGCGGAGGGUGUCCUGCGCCUCGAUCAUCGCGGUGGUGGCAAUGAGGGCGGCCUCCCGCUCCUCCUCCACCUCUCGGGCGAUCUCUGCCAGCGCCGCUUUGCGGGCUUCAAGCUCCGAGACGUGACGGCGGUGAGCCUUACGGCCCACCUCCACCAUGACAUCCACCGAGCGCCGCCCCUCCUCGACACGCGCCCAUGCGGCCUCGAGCUCCGCUCGUUCCGCUCGCAGGGCCUCCACUUGGGCGCUGAACCCAUCUAGCACCGCGGUGUUUGCGGCGGCCAAGGCCUGCAGAAGGGGCUCGGCGCUCAGCGGGGCGACAGAAGACGAGGAGAAGAGCCACCUUGGAGAGAAUGCGACGCGGCUCGGCCCGCCGGAGGACGCGCUGGGCUCGGGGAUGUCCCCCGGACCCGUUUGGUCCUGGGCAUCGCCUGGGGAAGUGGGCCCAAGCGACGCGCCAGCAGCUUUGUCGUGAGCUGCCUCGGAAGACGCCAUCGCCUCAGCCUGACGAGCCUGAGCGGCCUCCUCCUUAGCAGCUUCUUCGGCUUGGCGAGCCCGGGUGGCCUCCUCCCGAGCGGUAUCCUCUGCAUGGCGAGCCCGAGCGGCCUCCCGGGCGGCCUCUUCAGCUUCCCGAAGGCGAUCUGCGGCCUCUCGCCGGUCAGAUUCUCGCCUCCGUUCCUCUGCGGCCGCCGGAUCUUCGGCCUCGGACUGGCCGGACUUGGGAUGGCGGGAGGAACGUGACGGGACAUCGCUGAAGCAAAAGAAAAAACCAGAAGACAAACAAGAUGGGUAAGAGAAAACUUGCUUUUGGGAUAAAAGAAAGACGGUCGCAAAGAGAGUGGGACGAACCUGCGAGGGGGUCGGUUAAAUGACCACCUUGGAGGGGAAAUCAGGUUUCCCCGGGAUGGUUCCGUCUCCCCCGUUUUGCGAAGCCGCUUCUUCUUGCGCUCCCCCUCGGGCUGCGAUGUCGGCGCGGCCCCCUCCGGGUGUCGACUGCUGGCACGCACCGCCCCGCCCCCUCGGGGAGGAGAUGGGGGAGGUGUUCCUCCCAGCUUCCUCUUCCCCUGGGCGUCGGCAGGGCGGCUGCUCCCUGAGCCCCCGACGCGGGGCCCAGAAGCACCACCCCCUCCUGGGGUAGAUUGUUCCCCCCGGCGGCUCUCGCCCGCGCCGUCGUGGCCCUUAGGAGUUUCCUCCUCUGAGGCCCCGACCCCCAUCAUAAUGGUCAGAAUGGAGGCGCGGUCGGGAUCGCUGCAGAGGGGGAGGAUUCCUUGAGGAAUGAGAGACGCCUCCACGGAGCUGAGAUUCAGCACCCUUUGGACCACGAUCUUGAAGUCCUCGGGAGCCCAAUCCCAUCUGACUCCCUGGUGGGUCCGCAUGUAGUCUUCGGACCCGGUGUACUCCCAGGCGCCCCGGGCGCGCCGUUGGAGCGGCGCAAUCCGGCGACGGAGGUAGUCGCCGUACACCAUGGCCCCUGUGAGCCCCUGGGAUCGCAGGCCCGCCAGGCGGUCGAGGACGGCGUCAUAGUCAUCCCCCAGAUCUACCGGCGCCCGCCAGCUGGAGACCUGCGCCGAGGGCUGACUUGGAAGUUGGAGGCGCGCUUCGUUGGCGAGGGGGGUGUAGAACCAGUCGCUCUUCCAGUCGUCCCACUUCUUGCGGAGGGCGCAGGGGAUGUAGCGGUUCAACACCGGCCCCCGCGGCUGGAAAUAGCAGCCACCAACCACCGACGGCGGCGACACCGACUGCACGGUGAAGAACCACCGGAACAACCGAAGAGAUGGGCGCACCCCAAUGAACAUCUCGCACAGGUGCGCGAAGAUGGCCAAUGUCAUCACCGCAUUGGGGGUGAGGUGCGCCAUCUGGAGAUCGUAGAACUCCAGAACGUCCAUAAAGAAGGAAGAAAAUGGCGGAACCAGCCCCGCCAUUGCGAAGGGGAGGAAGAAGACGGAUCGCCCCGGGUAGUCUGGUGCCGGGCGUCCCUCGCCCAGCAUCACUAUCUCCCGACCGGUGGCGGAUUCCGGCAUGAAGCGGCGCGGCAGCCCGGCGUGCCUCUCGCUCACAAUGCGGGAAGGCGGUAGUACGCUACCGUCGAGCAGAGCGGAGCCCCGUGCCAUGGCGCCGGAGGUAGAGGUGAUUAAAAGCGAGCGCGUGUGGCGAAGGUAGGGCGCAGCAGAGAAAGAGUUAGGGCUCAAGCGGCGAAGGCAAGAGGAAUAAUGGCGAAAGGAAGGGAGCAAAACUUUUCCUCGGUAUUUUUAUACCCUUGCCAUAGCUGGGCCCGGCUCCUCAUUUCUCGCGCCCACUAUCUCGCUCCCUCGUUUCUCACUAUCUCGCUCCCUCGUUUCUCGUGCCCACGCUUCCACUAAUCCCAUUCGCCCGCUUGCGGCGCAUGAGGUGGAUAUGCGGUUGUGGCAGUCGAGAUAGAUCGUAUCGUGCGCGCGUUAAUUACGCUCGCCGGCCGAAGCGACGUUACCAUAUCUCCAGGCGAAGCAAAUCAGCUCACCCAGAUUCGUGCGCUGCUUAGGUGAUGUGGCAGUCUUAAAGAGACCGCCCAUUAUGGACAGCCAAGUUACCAUUACCGAUGUGCAUGGUUUGAGACCGUUGGGUUUCUGCGCAACCAUGAAAACCGGUCCCACCUGUCACCAGGCUUUAGGAGUGGCGUUACGCCCGACCGCUUUCCUUGAGAAGGGCGAUCGCCCUGGCAUAACGCCGGGGGCUACUGUCGGUGAUAUGGGACCGGGGGUAUCGUGACCAGAGGCUUGAGGCAGACACAAUCGCCCAUGCGGCCUGGCACCUUCGGGGACGUCGGGCCCGAGGGUGAGGUGUCCGCCCUCCUCCUGAUUUCCCCCGAGGGGGGGUCGGGUUACUCCUGCCCCGGCCCCGAGGGCCGAGGCACCCCGACCCCUUGAGGAAGUUUGCGCCACAUAUAUGGGAUAGGUGAACACGGCAGUGCUCACCUAACCGCAUUUAUUGUAAGUCUGGUCAAGCGUGUCACGCUGCAUGCAGCGCAGUGCAGCGCGUUCCUUUAUCCGGUCUGUGACCGGUCACAGACCGGUCAGAUCACGGGUUAGGUGGCGACUGGCGGUCUGACGCACGCCUUGCCCCAUCCCGUCAAGACGAAAGCCUCUAGGCACUCGUCUCAAGCCAGAGCUAGCGUGUAAUCUCUUAGAG
rnacentral:lncRNA from 1 species